GGCCUCUCUCCCUUAGGCUUUAGGGGAUAGAGGUUUUUAUUUCUUCUCAGUGGAGGCUAAAGGUCAGGAUCAACACUUGAGAAUAACUGACAGAACCACCAAGCACCUAAUAGCCUUGUUUUCUUGCCUCGGACAUAA
rnacentral:snoRNA from 1 species